UACGAAGGGGGCUAGCGUUGUUCGGAAUUACUGGGCGUAAAGGGCGCGUAGGCGGUCCCGUCAGUCCCUUGUGAAAUCCCCGGGCUCAACCCGGGAACUGCGUCCGAUACUGGCAGGCUUGAAUCCGGGAGAGGGAUGUGGAAUUCCAGGUGUAGCGGUGAAAUGCGUAGAUAUCUGGAGGAACACCGGUGGCGAAGGCGGCAUCCUGGACCGGUAUUGACGCUGAUGCGCGAAAGCCAGGGGAGCAAACGGG
rnacentral:rRNA from 1 species